AAUGAGAAAGGACAGUAUAUUUCUCCAUUUCAUGAUAUCCCGAUUUAUGCAAGAAAGGAUGUAUUCCACAUAGUGGUUGAGGUUCCAUGCUGUUCAAAUGCUAAAAUGGAGAUUGCUACAAAGGAUCCCUUAAUCCAAUUAAGCAAGAUGUGAAGAAAAGAAAGCUCCGCUAUGUUGCAAAUCUGUUCCCUUACAAAGGAUACAUCUGGAACUAUGGUGCCAUCCCUUAGACAUGGGAAGACCCAGGGUACAGUGACAAACACACUGGCUGUUGUAGUGACAAUGACCCAACUGAUGUUUGUGAAAUUGGAAGCAAGGCGUGUACAAGAGGUGAGAUAGAUAAUCAAGGUUCUGGGCAUAUUGGCUAUGACUGAUUAAGGCGAAACCGACUGGAAAGUCAUCGCCGUUAACGUGGAUGAUCCAGAUGCGGCCAAUUAUAAUGGUAUUUCUGAUGUCAAAAUAUUUCUGAAACCUGUUGACUUAGAAGCCACUGUUGACGGGUUUAGGAGGUAUAAAGUUCCUUAUGGAAAACCAGAAAAUGAGUUUGGGUUCAAUGCAGAAUUUAAAGACAAGAAUUUUGCAAUUGACAUUAUUAAAAGCACUCAUGAUUAUUGGAAAGCAUUAGUGACUAAGAAAACAGACGGGAAAGGAAUCAGUUGCGUGAACACCACCGUGUUGGAGAGCCCUUUCAAGUAUGAUGCGGAUGCUGCCAAAGCCAUUGUGGAUGCUUCUGCCACCACCAUGUGAACCUGCCUGCUCACUACUGACAGAUGUGGAUAAAUGGUUCCAUCACCAGAAAAACCAAUGAGAUGUCCUGGAAUCCAAGUGAUCCUGCUGCAUCCUGUUCACCUGGAAGCAUUAGACGCGAAAGUGUAGU